UCACCCAGGGGGAGGUUCGUGAUGGAGAAGGACCAGGAGGAAAAGCCUCUCGUACAUUUUGCUCAAGCGAAACUCAGAGCAAACACUGGGAUGGAUGCAGAGGCUGAGCCCUGCCCUUCCCCACCACUUUUUGCUGAUCCCUGCGGUGAAAAAGACAAAUGCUGGGAGAAGAGGGACCGGGGAGAGAGUCUGGGGACAAUGGGCACCAGAUGUGGCCACACACUGUCCCAGUGAACUGGGUGGUGUCAGAAAAACCCCUUUUCUCUGGGGCUGGCAGCUGUGACUCCAGUGGGGUCCCUGUGGUGGACAUUUCUGGCAAGGAUGGGGAACGGGGAGGUGGCAACUUCACAGGGAAGCGUCAUGAGUUCUGAGAAGACCCAGAGGUGGAAAGCAAGCUAGACACUCUUUUUCCAGUGAUCUGGUUUGCAGCUUGGCUCACAAAGAAUUAUAACAGCUCAAAGACAGUGCAAGUGAACUGACAAGAAGAUGGAAAUUAAUAGUAAGGGAGCAUGAACCAUCUUUGCUGCUGCAGAAAAUGCCAUAUGGAACCGUGAUUUUUGCUUAGAUAUAACUAUCACACUUCUGAGAUACUGGUCACAGUGAAGAUUACUGGAUACUCAGCAGGUCAUGAAUCAAAUCCAGAAAAGAAAGACCCACAGGUGGGAAAAGACGAUCAGAGACAGCUGUUGACUUUGGCAUGGUUUUCUUGGAGACAUUUGCACUACACUCAUCUAAGCCCUUCAGCCAACAACAGCUACUUGACUCCAGGUUCUGUACCCAGCUCAGGGGCUGGAGCUGGUGUGGACUGAACAGCAUUGUGAGAUUUGCUCCUGAUUAACCAUUUUCAGGGACAGCUCUUUGGGGACAAUGGGAUAAAAUCAAGCACUUGCUCCAAGCAAGCAAAAUGAAAUGGUCUGUUUAUUUCCCUCAGGCUUGCUGUACCUAAACCUCUGUUUGUUAAAUUUUUCAUUAUUUGGUGGAGUCUCCUCCCUGUUGCAGGAAUGAAAGCCAUCAGCCUUUCCUAGACCACGCAGCUUUGUUCUCCAUGAACACUUGACAGUCUCUCAAUGAAGAACUUUGCCAAGUCCUAUUCCCUGACUCAUCACAUUGCUCUUUUUCAGAUUUCAACACCUUGUAAAAAACAGCUGGUCAGUCACCUUUGAUGUACAAGAGAGCAUUUCAGAGAACACCUCCAUUUAGUGAUCAAAAUCAGGACAACCCGAUACCAUAAUGCAUCGGUUUGAUGCAGGGCUGGAGAGGAAUCAUUUGGCCUCUGCAGAUACUCCAGGAAUGACCAAGAGGCACAAAGUGUUCUCUGGAGCUGAGCAAUAAACAGAGGCUGGUGAAGACAACAGAGUCAGCUGGAAGAUUACAGUGUCUGUGUAACUUAAAUACUGUUGGGUUGAAUACUUUCUUUCUAAGAAAAGUCAUCUCUGUGGGCGUCUUUUCUAUCUCUCCCCAUAUGAGAACAGGAGGUUACUGAAUGAUAAACACUUGAAACCUCAUACACAAUUUAAUGCUGCUUACUUGAAACCCCAGACCUUUUCAAUUGAAUGUGCAAGGUGAGAUCAUCUCUUGCUGUAUGGUGAUUACUAGGGAUAUAAAGCACUUUUCCCAUUAAAGCUCAGUGUUCAGGUGUAUUUAUCUAUUGGCUUCUGACUCCAGAGUUUUGUUUCUCCUUUGAACCACUGGUGCUGUUACUCAGACAAACCAGGACGACAGAAUAUGUUUGCUCUUGGUUUUACUGCCUGAUGAGACCAUCUACAAAAUGCACUUAACAGUGAACUUCAGUGAAGGAAGAGUAACUCUUUAAAUCUUUAGAUCUUUGCUUGUGACUCAGAAACACACUAAUACGAAUUAAAGGACGAGUAGAAAAGAAGAAAAAGAAAAAUCUGCUGUUGCUUUUUUGCAUCUGCACCUUGACAGGGCUUCACAGGCUUCACAGAUGUUUUCUUCUAACAAGUAAGUUAAGAGACCAGGAAACCCAGUCCAUUUUUAAUUUUCCUCUGUAUUCAAAAAGGCAUCACAAAGAUACACAACAUUUAUCUCUACCACUGCUGUGAGGCAAGAGUCCAGCACAGAGCUCACCAAUUGCAACAGUUUGCUUAAAUACUACUUGGCCCAAGCCCUUAAAUACCUAUCUGUAGUCUUUAAACAAAAUCCUCUCAAACCUUUAAACCCACAGCAGGUUAUUCCAUAGCAUUAAAAGCAAAACCCAAGGAUAAAAAAUGCAUUAUAGUGAAGACUUGUUUCCUGGAGUCUGGCAUUCCUUACCUCAUUGCUGUUUGUGCUUCAGGACAGCUGAAGGGCCGUGAUGAGGCACUGGAGCCUUUCUCAAGAACCCCUCAUGAAUUUUCAAAAAGAGCAUGUACUUACAGAUCUGACAUAAGACAGGCAAAACAUAUAGCAAAGUAGGCAUGCAAGGGGUAAGGAAACAUUCCUACUGAAUAAGAGAUUUUCUCCAACUCCCGCACUUAAGGCUGGAGUGUCUGAGUCUCUAAAGUUUCCAAUUUUUUCCUCCAGCACUGCUACUUCACAUGGACCUAUAGCCUUCUCAUUCUUAGUGUUUUCAUGUUUAUCUUUAAGCAGAGGCAGAUAUUUAUAAAGGGAAGAGGAAAUUAAAAAUAAAACAAUCCUGAGGAGGAUUAUGCUUUGUCACAGAGUUUUGAAGCCCAGUGUGAAAGCAUUUUAGCAGCACAUGCUGUGCAUGUAGCUGGGGAUCUAGAGCAGCAACGAUGUUCUCACAUCUAGGACUGAGCCCAAACUACUCCCCGAGUGUAGGGCAAACUUAAAAUUCUCCUAGAGGUGACAAUGACAUGAAAAAAACUGCAUGAAACAACAGGAAAUUUUCAGGAAGGCUCUUAUCUAUUCUGAUCUCUUAGAGACCAUAGGAUUUGCAGACAGCUGAUUAGAGUUGGUUUCAAGUACAUGUGGCAGAGAAACACACUUUGCCUUUGAAUCUGAGUCUUCACCUUUACAUGGUUUACCAGAGAACUGGGGUCAAGAUCAUAAAAGUUUGUUGCAUGGCAACAAUGUAUUUUGCUCAAUUUAGGUUGUUGGAAGGCAGCAGGGUCCAUCACAUUUAUCAAUGAACCAUCACUAGAUCAGCCCUUUUUUAAACCGGUACAUAUUCCAUGAAAAUACGCUGUUAGAACAAAAUAGAAACUUUCUGAAAUGCUAGGUAGAUUUACCAAAAAUCUUGCUUUUCAGAAUGAAACAGAGGGAAGAAAAGGUGUUUUAACACUGUGGAAAAAUCCUGUUCUAGCAAUUGUGGAUGAAAUGUUUUGCUAAUUUUGGUCUGUGUUUAUUUACAUUCUCAUCCCUGUAGUCUUUCUGCCAAAUCUAAUUUAUAGGGAUCAUUUUAAAGUGCCAACCCAUGUUCCCAUUAAGAAACCUGGGAAAACCUAUGUAAUGUGCUGGGGUGUUGCUCAGUGACUGACAACUCUUUGUUUAUUAAAGCAAUUAAUCAAAUAGCUUCAUAAAACAGUACUUUAUGAAGGAAUAAAAGAAAACGAGGAGUAGAAGACAAAUUGGGCACUCAGGUGUAGAUAAACCUUUGUCUCAGAACUGAAACAGUUCACACACCCUGAAUAUGUCAUCGAACUUGUAUUAUAUAAUACGGUCUUCACCAAAGACCUCCAAGCACCCAAACAAAAUAUGUAGACUACAAACACAGACAGUUGCCUAACUAGCCAUGGCUUUCCUUGGAAAGUACUUCCAUUGUCCAUAGCAGGAAUCAGAAGGAAGGAAGACAGAAGUCAUCUACAGCAAUUUACCAGAAGUUGUUCUGAAUCUCAGAUGACACAUCAAGCGGUUUUGACACUCGGGUUGCUGUCUUGAACUCCAGACAGCAUUUUUGCACAUAAAAGAUACAUAACCAUCAUAAAUUCAAUAUAGUUAAGCACUUAAAUAGUGCUCAGAAACCUUUGUUGAAUCAGAAAUAAUAACCUGGAACUAUACAUACAAUAGUCUGCCUAUGCUGGUGUAAUAAAGAAAUGGAUCCUGCCUUAUCGUGUGGAAUUUGGAGUUACCCACCAGUCAGUUAAGCUUAAUUUAUGAUAAGAAACUGAAAUAUAUGACAGAAAAGAUCAGUAAUGCACGGUGAAAUAAUAACUGGUUAGACUUAAUAAAAAUAAUAAUUAAAAAAAAAAAAAAAAGAGAAAACCAUAGUGGUAUUAAACUCGUCAUUUAAAAUACCCAUACCCAGACAACAAAGAAUAUUAGCUUUAAGGAAUGAAAUUAGACAGCCAGAUAAAUACCUGCCUGUCUAAUUCCUUCUUAAACUGUGCCUCCCUCCAGAUCUCAGAACACUCCUUAAAAAUUGCAAAUGGAUAUUCAGAGUACAGAAACGAUAAUUUUACUUUCAGAUGGAUGGCUGUGGGGAGUUAUUUCAAAUCUGUUGUCUCUAACUGUCUUUGGAUCAAACAAGCUGUAGCAAACAGAUUUUGGAGAAUCAGGAUGAGCCAGCACCUAGGAAUUAAUCCUGUGAUACCUGGUGUCCCUGGUAUGGUGGGGUUCUUAGGGACAUGGUUUAGAGGUGGACUUGACAGUGUUGGGUUAACGGUUGGACUCAAUGAUCUUAAAGGUCUUUUCCAACCAAAAUGAUUCUAUGAUUUAUGAUCCUAUGGUAUUUCUGAACGGACUCUCACUGCUGGGUGGCGGCUGGCAGCAGAAGACAAGGCACUAGCCGUUAAGACAGUUCUACAAAUUGAAAAAUUAUGUCUUUUAGUCUGAAAGAAGAUGAUUGGGUGACGGCAAUUGGAGAAUGUGAGAGGGGCGAAGAAAAUCAGGAAAAGAGCAGUCCCUGUGGUACACGAAACCAAGAUUUCCAAGACCAAAAUGACUCCUAUGUUGUUACAUACAUACAAUACAGAAUCAUCCAAUAACUGGCUCUAGACACUGUCCACCCAGUAGCUGGCCUUUGGAUCCUCACAUCUCCAGUUGCUUCAUGCGCAAACACAUACACAUGAAAAGACUUCUCUCUGCAGAUCCCCAGACCUCAUGUUCUCUCCAGUGGCUGUCUUGGACCCCUGUGUCCAUCCAGCAAAAACUCACCGGUCUCGUGUCUCUCCAGUAUCUGGUCCAGACUUAUGGCCACCUCCAUAUCUGUCUGCCAAGCUGCAUGUUCCUUUCACCAGCUAAUCUGGUUUGUGUUCACUUGCGAUCGCACACAGACACACUCACACAACAUGUUCACACUCUGUUCUCUCUAGUUGCUGGCACCACACAGAGGUCCUCCAAUCUGUGGUGUGACUCCAGUGACUCCAAACCCCCAUGCACACAUAUCCAUGCAGAACAGGGAGCACCUCACCCAGGGUGGUGGUUAGAAAUGAAAUUUAAUGAAGAGACAGGACAGUCUGCACUGAUCUGGACCAGGACAUGGCCAGACAAGCAUGGCCAGACCAGCAAACUGUUCAGAAGUGACCUGUCCCUUUAUCCCAUUGUUUUCAAAUGUUUGUUCCUCCCCAAACCAGACAGAUACUGUCCUUUCAACUUCUUUAAUUCCUCCCCUAAACAUCCCAUAAGGAGCCUCUUGUCCUCAUCAACUCAUGGGGUGGGUGUCAUCACCCUGGCCCAUAAGGCUGAAGUUCUCCUGGGGCAACCCUGGUCCAGGAAUGGUUUCUCUGUGUAGUUUAUGGGGGCUGCCACCUCCCAAUGUGUCUCUGUGCUCCUUUGUGUGCAAGGAAAAGGCCAUUAAUCACAUAACCUAAUGAGGUUCCUUUGAAUCGAUAUUAUCUUCACCUGCCUCCAGUUACCUAAGAAGACAGUCCUAACUCUUCAGCUUUGUGAGGUUUUUCAACAUCACAAUUCCUCUGUGUCUCUCUCCCAUUUUAUUGACAGUCAGAGAAACACAUUAAACUCAUUUCAAUUUCACAUGGAGACUUACAUUCUUGAGAUAGCUUUGUUGCAGAUUUCUCUGAAUGGAUUGCCUGAAAGCUGCUUCAAAAAAAAAAAAAAAAACCAAACCAAAAAAACCCCCAAAAAACUCGAAGUACCAAGCACCUCAGAUGUCCCACUCUCAGAAACAAUAUUCUUUUCCACAUAUCCCCCUUGAUCUGCAGACAAACACCACACAGAAUUCCUUCAUGUUGUCCUCCAUGUUUACAGAAAACUUCAGUUCUGAUGAGGCUUUAAAUUGCUUUAUUCCUCAGCACAUGCAUAUUUGUUGACUUGUCUUUUACAUGAAUCAGAAAUCCCUGGAGAAACAGACAUCUCCUGGUUGUCAUCAUUGCGAUUCCUUCUUAGGCUGCAUCAACCCCAAACCUGCAUCCUCCUCGUCUCUAAAUAACCUCUUGUUGUUGCACAUGCUGUUGCCAGUGGGAAGAGUUUGGGAAGUGUCUAAUUCAUGCAGCUCUCUCACUUCCCACAUAGAAAGAUGGUGUUGUUGCUUCCUACUGUCCUUUCUGGUAGAGUUUGCGAGUGUGGGAACAAGCAAAUAAAGCGGAUGGCCAAGGCCACAUGCAGAAGUGGCGGGGGGUGACCAUGACACAGUAGCUACGCUGUUAGGGUCAGACACAAUCAGGGUCAAAUUUCCAAGGAAAACUGCCUUUUCAUUCCGAAAAAAAGGCAGCUCUUGAAAUGAUCUUGGGAAAAAAAGAGCAUCUACAGCUUACAGGAUUUGGGACUGAGUAUAAUGAGUAUAAGCUUUGGGUAAAAUAACUUCUGACCAAGCUUGAAGCACAGCUGUAAGUCCUGGCUUUUUUCUUUCUUUCUUUUUUUUAACUCUUUACCUACUGACUAGCAAGCGGAUGACAUAUUUUAAAAGUUCAGCCAAUGUAGGAUAACUUCUGUCAUUUCAAGAACAGAAGGGGCACAGCCAGACAAGCAUCCAUUUAGCUAAAUCCUCAUUAGAUGCUUUCUGGCCCUGAGUCUCAAAGUGAUUCUAAGAUAACCCCGUCAGGAAUCAGUGGAUCAGGGAAUGAAAACCAAUUCUAUUUUUAAAAUGAUAAUUGAAAUAAGACACCUCAGGUGGUUUGAAGUGGUUUGACAAAGUUUGAUAUCAAACCCUUUCUCAUGCCCACAGCUCGGUAGUCCCAUCAACUAACAAAGAUAUGAACUUGACAACGCACUGUAAUCUUCAUACUGUCUUUGUAUCAAACAUCUGGACUGUUAAAGGGAGUCAUAAAUAAAAAUAAACUGAUUUCUAGGACUUACGGUGACUCCGCUUAAGCUUUUGAAUCUUUUCUCACGUGGUUCCUCUCAAAUGCUAUGUCAAAAAUUGGGACUCAGCACCUGCCACCAAGGACCUUUGCUUAUCAUAGCUGAAGGGAUGCUGAAGUAGAGUGAGGCAGGAGGGUGGAAGGAGGAGGGUACGUACCAUCUCUCUGUUAGGUUACUUGCUGGUGGACAACAACUGUAUAUGUUUUGAACUGGAAUGUUCCAACAGAGGUCCAACAGCGCUCCCCAGUCUAGUAGAGGGAUGGAGCUGCCUCCUUCUUCACGGAGUCAUCCACCCCAACAGAAUUUGCAGCAUGGCAAACUGUAUUUUGGUUUUGCUCUUUUUAAGACUGGAGUAAAAAUAGCUUCUUACUGCCCCAUCAAAUGCAACCAAACCCCAAAUGUCUCUGAUUCCAAAGGAUGCAAAUAGCCAGGAUUUACUGUGUUUGCUUUAUGCAGCCUGCAGAUACUCCUUGUCUCUGGUUUGCCCUCCAUUCUGAACUUUUAUCCUUGUGGACUCUGCUGCCAACUCUACCCAGUUAAAGAAAAUUUGGGUUGAAUUUACUACUUCUAAAACACCCACCUGGGCUCAGCUCAGAGCUCUACUCCCGACUUGUUGUGCAAGCUUGGCAAGUCUCAGCUUUUCUGUGACACUUCAUGAGCUGUCAGCUUCGAUUACAAGCUCUGCAAACAGGACUAGUCUCUCACUGCUUUUCAGCAGCACGUGGGGCCAUGACCCCUGGUAAAAAACUUGACCAGUUCCUGUAACACACAAAAUAAAUGUUCUAGACCAGUGUGAGAUUAUGUUGGUAGCCUAAGGGUGCAGAUCGUCUUCUCAUGUUGAAUAUCUCAAGCCAUUUUCCUUGGGUCAUUUAUCUCUUUUAGAGAUAGCAUUACACAAAUCAGCAAGAGAAAAGUAAUUUUGGAUUUCUUCUAGUAUAGAGGAGGAUUUGGAAGGUAAAUUAAAACUCUUUCCCAACAAGUUUGUCCUUUAUACCCUUAAAUGAAGCCUUGUACUUUAUAUUCCCCUAAUUUGCCUUCCUCUCUUUGUUACAAAGUCAAAUUAACAUUUCCUUUACCAUUCUGUGUUACAUUCAGUACUGCACACUCAAGAUAUAUGGGAUCCCUGCGUAUUACGUCUGUGUCUAUGCAUACAAAUACAUAUUAUUCUGGUAGAUUUAUAUUUUUCAUCUUUAUUGUUUUGCAACCAUUAAAACAAGAUAUACAUUCCUCAUUCCUUAAUUUGCAUUAUCAAUUGCAGUUGUACCUUUUUUAGUAAAAUUUGCUUUCAGAUCGUAAAACAUUGUCUAAUCAGCAAUCCACUUGUACUUUGUAAGUCACCUCAAUCUAUAACUGGAAAAGUGGUUUUUAAAGCAGGCUUUAGCCUCAGUACUGAAGUUUGCCUAAUUAGCUGAGCUCUCACAUUUGUUCUUAACAGAAUGGUGGGGCUUUGAGUCGGCAGCCAUGCUAGUCAAAGGAAAUAUUCCAAAAUUUAAGACGUCCCGUCUACCUGGACAUAGGAGGAGAGAGGUCCAUUAUCACGAGCACACAGACACGUUCUGUACGGGAUGUUCUGCAAGACAAAGAGAGUCAGGGUCAGGCAAACCUCACCAUGCUGGUUCCAGAGGCUGCUUUUUACAGAUGACAGUGAGACCACUAGAGACAAACUCUUUCCACUUUACACGAGUGCAUAUGAGGUCUGAUCUUACACACAGGUAAGCUGUUUGCUGUGGCUCCAGGAGGCUGAGUAAGGACUUUUUCAGGGAUCUGUAAAUUCCCUUCUGUAGAGAGCUGCUAGGGAUUAAUAGGUUUAUUCGAAAUCUUCCCUGCCUUCUCUUCCAACAGCUAAUAAUCCUCCUUCACUAUGGAUGGGAGCUUGACAUCAGGGGGCUAUAAAAGAUGAAUUUUAAUUUCUAAAAAUAGUCCACCUCUGAUCUGGUGUGACACUGGCACAUGCCACACACUUUUGGUACAGAAGUUACCAUUCCGAUCGCUAUCCUGAAGUCCCCACGUAUAUAGAUUUGCUCUUGUUCCUGUAUUUUUU